AAUGGCACACGUCUCCUGCAGCUGCCUCCCUGGUCUCGCUCUUUUCCUCACAGGAUUCCUCUACAUUUUCACUCCCCCUCCCGUCCACUAUCUAAAGAAUCGCUCCCCCUCUGUGUCACAUCAUUUUCUUUUACCGGUCAUGCAGGGAAGGAGGGGGAGCGAGUGGACGGGAGGCAGAGCGAGACUUUGUAGUGUAAGGGAGGCAGAGCGAGAUUUAGGCAGUGUAAGGGAGGCGGAGCGAGACUUCAGACACUGGACGGGAGGGGGAGUGAAAAUGGAGCCGAAUCCUGUGAGGAAAGCGACACCAGGGAGGCAGCUGCAGGGAGACUUGUGACAGGAGUGAGAGAUGCGAUGAAGGAAAGAGAAGCCCUUCAUCGCAUAAAACGGCACCAGUGCCAAUGACAACUCCACUAGAACCAUCUCCUUUUAAGCCACCACAGCUGAAACAGUCGUGUCUUGAACAUCCACCGACAGUGUCUUCACUCUACCAGCAGUCUCACUUUCAAGGACCACAUUGUCACCAGUGGUACCUUACUUUCCAUCUACUGGAUCUCCCACCAGCUUUUUCUCCCCCUUCUAGUGCACCUUUACCACCAGACUGUCAAUCUUUUACAGGUCCACUAGCCACAAAAGCCGCACUUUUAAAGGAUAAGUAAACCUUUAAAAUAAAUGAAUGUAAAAUUGA